AGCUCCAAUAGCAUAUAUUAAAGUUGUUGUGGUUAAAAAGCUCGUAGUUGGAUCUCGGCGGUCUGAGGGCGGUUCACUUGCUAGUGCUACUGCCCUAUAGACCGUAGUUUUGUCAGAGGUCUCGGGGUGCUCUUAAUCGAGUGUCUCGCGAUGCUGGCAGGUUUACUUUGAAAAAAUUAGAGUGCUCAAAGCAGGCUUUUACGCCUGAAUAUUCGUGCAUGGAAUAAUAGAAUAGGAAGUUGUUUCUAUUUUGUUGGUUUCCGGAAAUCGACUUAAUGAUUUAUAGGGACAGUCGGGGGCAUUUGUAUUCAAACGUCAGAUGUGAAAUUCUUGGACUGUUUGAAGACAAACUACUGUGAAAGCAUUUGCCAAGAAUGUUU
rnacentral:rRNA from 1 species